rnacentral:lncRNA from 1 species
CAAUAACUCUCCUGACUGACUCAACCUAUUCAUUAAGACACUGGGAAGAAAAACACUUCCAUAGAAAAACAGAAACUAUAUUAGGCAUUUCAACAUAGAGCCUAUACAAGGAAUGGUUAAACAGACAGUAGAAGAUUGAAAAAGCAAAAAGGGAACUCUGAGGCAACAACGAGGCUCAGCUUGGGCCUCAGACUUUUGAGGAGGGGACAUUGCCCAAAUGAUUCUGGUACAGCAGAGGGGCACAGUGUGGCUGGCUCUGGAGUGCUAAAAGAAUGUAGAGACUUUGGCUAUUAACAGCUUUCUGACCAAUAAACCAACUGCAGAUGAUUCUAGUCAUUCAAUUGUGGAAGCAUUUGGAAGGCAGAAGAUUCUGCAUCUUCAGGCACUGGAUUUACCACCAGCACCAGCAGAUACUCCCUCCGGAGACCCUUGCCAUUGAAUUGAGGACUGGGCUCUCAGAUAGCUCUUGAUAAGUCUGGGUUUGCUUAACUCAAUAACCCCACAGAAAACACCUUGGAGAAGGGUUCGAUUUACAUGGGCAUUUGAAGCACUGAAGCCUUAUAAAUUUGCUUUGAAAAUUUCAGUGAAGAAGAGGGAAGCAAAAGAGAGAUGGGGGGAAGAGAGAGACUUGAGAGAAAAAUGAUGUUACCACUGGGGUAAACUGGAUGAAGGGUACGUGGGACCUCUCUGCGCAUCAUUUUACAACUUUCUGCGAAACUAUCACUAUUUAAAAAUAGCUGUUCUUAGAAGAAAUUCCAAACACUUUAUCAAGACCUGCAAUACCUGGCUCCUACUUGUUGAUAUCAUCUCACGUCAUUCUCUGCCACGAAUGACAUACCAACAAAGGUUUCCACAAGAACAAGCAAAUCCUGCAGCCUGCUGUGCAGCAAGUGCCCUGCCUACAGAUGUGGGAAGAUUUAUGGACUGGAACUAUAGAUUUCUACUUUUGUGUAGUUGGAUGGAGCUGUUAGUGAAUUUAUCCUUUAAGAUGCCAUCAGUUAGCUGUAUCUUUAAUAUGCAUUAAUUUGUUAAGAAGUGGAGUGUUUUUUUUCAGUCACUCAGCAAAUAAAAUGUAUAGUCAAGGUAUCCUAAUUCUUUCUAAACAUCAUUCCCUCUACAAGCACAAGACCUACACACUACCUCCUAAAUAUCCAGAAACACUCAAUCUGGUGCCUCACUCUAGCCUACACUUGCUAUCCAC